CUGAGUCUGUAAUGGAGUCUGUGAGGAGCUCAGCUUCCUGGGGUGGAAGAAGGCAGCGGUCUGAUCUUCGGCUUGUUCCUGUACUGGAGAAGAUAUAAGGUGGUUUGUGUCAUGAACAGUUGUGCCUGGACUCAGUUCCAACCUGAGAAGACGGCCUAGAGGACAAGAGUGUCAUCCACUUGUGAUGGACAGCUUGAAUUGCCUGUCUUGGUGUUCAGCAGGAAAACUUCAUUGUCAGCAACUGAGAAGAUGCUGAAGAGUUCCAAGGUGCACGAGGAGGUGCCUUGCAGGAGCAACGCAGAGACACAGAGAAGAUUUUCACCACUUGAUCUCAGCAUGUGGCUCUCAUCUGGUGCUGUGCUCCGUCUGCUCUUUGCCUGGGACAGUGUCAGAACAAGUGGGGGUUUCAAAAGUGGUCUAUAUGAGGGAGAGCAAGAGAACUUCUGUUUUCCUCACUGCCCAGACUAAACAGGUUGCUCCAACUACACCUCCCCUUCUGGGUCCUCUUUCCAAGGAGAGGUUCUUAGCAAGACUUGGAAGCAGAGGCUUGCACAGCACUUGCAUUGACAGUCUGCAGUUAUGCCCUGCUCUUUCAUUGUCCAACGGAUGGUGGUGUCUCUUCCUGCUUCAGGCUUGUUUUAUACCUGGAAGAGCCAUCCCAAAUGUGGGCACGGUAGUGAGGUGGAGCCCUGAAGUGAGAGAGGCACAGCAGAGAGAUAGGAGAGGUGGAAAAAAGCACCAGCAACUCGCCCAGGAUGUCCAGUGGAUCCAUAAGCAGGUACCAUCACUGUGUGUUUGUGAAACAAGCCAAGACAGGAGUAUCCUCACUGAUUCUGGCUGACUCAAGCAAUGGGUCUCUUCUCCCUGUCCUGAAGUGUGAGGUGUUCACCCUGUCAAGGAAUCCAUCACUCUUUGUUCAACUCACUGUAGCUUAUCCUACAGAGAAAAGGCAUGCAACCCCAUGCUCUUUCUCUCUUCCUUAACACAGAGGUCCCCAAGCUAUGACAAAGAACCCUGACAACCUUCUUUAUGUCUUUUGGAGCACUUAUACUUGUAUUGUUCAACUUUGAAUAGAGAGUUUUUAAAAAUAGUUGGUUCUCCAGACCAACUGCAGACUUUUAUAACCUUGCCAGCCAACCACGGAUCAAGGGUGGGAAGUGCUAUUUUGGCAAAAAAGGUGCCAGUUUUUUCUUAUUUUCUCUCUGUUGGUUUGGGGUUUUUUUUAAUAUAACAAGAAUUCAGAUAAAGAAGAACUGCAUGUAUAAAGGACGUGAGGAUUAGUGAAGAAGCAAACAAGAGAUUUUUUUUUGCUUAUGUGGAAGGGGAGAAAAAAUAAGACAGCUUCUUGUGGAAACAUGGAAGGUCUCCACUGUAAUGAAUAAUAAUUUCAAAUAUAUUUUCUGAGAUCCGAACAGUAUUUAUAGGCAAAUACUGUCUCAGAAGGUAGUGGGAAAAAGACAACAGUUUUCCUAACAUUGGCUGGGAAACAAAAUUUGCAGUUCUGGAAGACUUGCCAUUUCCAUAGGAACCAGAUGAGAUGAAGCAGAAAGACUUAACAGAGGUGAUUAGAAAGUAUUUUAUACUGAAAACAAACUUUCUAGCUGAAUGACAUAAAUUACUUUUAAGGGAGCAAAUGGCUUUCUAGCAAAUUUAAAAAAACAAGUAUCUGCCCUUUAGUAACUGUCUUAGAGAGCCUUGGAGAGCAACAAGCUCAGCUGUGGAGUACAACAUUAGAGGAACCAUGGGGAUCUUUGGGGUGGCACACUGAGGUGCUGAAAAUCUAGUUUAUGCUACCAGAAUUUUGAAAGUCCUAUUAAAAUUUAAAUACAUACAAAAAACCCCUACAUGCUUCAUAAAUCAAGAAAGGACCUUCACUAUUUUGCACUGCUCUGAACAGAGAUUGGAGGUGAGUGAUGUGGGCAGAACAGUACAUCCCACUGUUUGGUGUUUGGGAAUUUUAACAAGAGAAAUAAUUAUGUAAUUAUAAAAUAAUUAAAUAAUUAUAUCCUGCCUAAUUUAAGGUUUUGUAUUUUAACA